rnacentral:rRNA from 1 species
UACGUAGGGUGCGAGCGUUGUCCGGAAUUAUUGGGCGUAAAGAGCUUGUAGGCGGUUUGUCGCGUCUGCUGUGAAAAUCCUGGGCUCAACCCCGGACUUGCAGUGGGUACGGGCAGACUAGAGUGUGGUAGGGGAGACUGGAAUUCCUGGUGUAGCGGUGAAAUGCGCAGAUAUCAGGAGAAACACCGAUGGCGAAGGCAGGUCUCUGGGCCACUACUGACGCUGAGAAGCGAAAGCAUGGGGAGCGAACAGG